UACGUUGGGAGCGAGCGUUGUCCGGAAUUACUGGGUGUAAAGGGAGCGUAGGCGGGGAUGCAAGUUGGGUGUCAAAACUACCGGCUCAACUGGUAGUCGCACUCAAAACUGCAACUCUUGAGUGAAGUAGAGGCAGGCGGAAUUCCUAGUGUAGCGGUGAAAUGCGUAGAUAUUAGGAGGAACACCAGUGGCGAAGGCGGCCUGCUGGGCUUUUACUGACGCUGAGGCUCGAAAGUGUGGGUAUCGAA
rnacentral:rRNA from 1 species